ACAGCAUUCCUUAUGUGGUUCACGCUGGAGUUGGAAUAACUGCGGACUGUGGCCCUUUCCAGCACAUCAUUUUGACCUCUUACUUCUACACUGAAUCCUCUAAGCUCUGUAUUUUUGGACAGUUGCUACCUUGGAAAGAUUUCAUGAGCAACUCUUCCCUGUCCUCUUUGUCUUCCUAUGGGUUCUUGGCUGCUGAGUCCUAGGGACAGUCACAACCAUUGCCCUGCCUAACCCAAUGUCAAGGAAUGCCUUAGGAUGGUAAAACCUAGUAAGUGCUCUCCCUCCUUCCCUUGCUCUCUCUCUCUCUCUCUCUCUCUCUCUCUCUCUCUCUCUCUCUCUCUCUCUCACACACACACACACACACACACACACAGCCUAUCUGUUUCUUUCUCCCUUUCUCUCCCUCUCCAAUAUUUGUUUUAUUAUUUAAAAAUAAACAUAUAUAAAUAUAAAACAAAACCAGUUUACUUCUAAACUCUAGACAUGCCAAGCUCAAAUUAACGUACCAUUCAGUAUACAUUGGAUACAAGCUAGUAACACUAUGACCUGUGUGCUUAAUGUAUAUGUAUUUUUUCCACUUUAAAAAGUUGAGCAAUAUUACCACUUAAAGCACAUUUAUUAUAACAAUAAUAUUCAAUGAAUUAAAACUAACUUGACCCUCAACCAAGCCCCACCAAUGUUAGCAUGCCUUGGCAUUGGGUAUUGUUCCUUUGUGCUCUUCUGGCUUAUGCUUUUGAGACAGGGUCUUGAUCUGGAGCUGGUCACCAUCUGAUGAACCAGUUCCUCAGCUCCUUUCCGUUGGCAUCACCAACAAGGGCCACUUGCUCACCUUGCUUUUAAUACUCAUUGUCAUAAGAAAUGUCUUGUCAAACUUCUAGUCAAAUCUCAGUCUGCAAGCGUGUGCAUUUUGGUUCCUAGAAUUAACAUAUCUGUUUUGCACAUUUUUUCUCUUUUUUUUUCUUUUUUCUUUUUUUCGGAGCUGGGGACCGAACCCAGGGCCUUGCACUUGCUAGGCAAGCGCUCUACCACUGAGCUAAAUCCCCAACCCCUGUUUUGCACAUUUUUAUGACAUAUUAUCAUGCAAAUAUAUAGAUUAUGUUUUCCCUUUCCCCAACUCCUCCCAGAUCCUCCCCUUGUCCCAGUCACCCAAGUUCAUAAUUUUUUUCUGUCUAUCUCACUCUCUGUCUGAGAAACAACAAAAUAUAACACCCCAAGAAAAGUAACUAAGGUAAAUAAAAAAAAAACCCGAUCACGUAAAAACAAAUAAACAAAAAAGCCAACAUAAAACAAUGCAAGGCUUGUUUAAUGCAGGCUUACCUUUCUUCCCCAAAUUUAUGGAGUUUAUUUUGUGGAGAUACAACCCAUCUUGGGUAUGAGGCUAUGUGAGUGCCUUUAAGUGUGUGACAGUUUGCUUCUUACCUAGCUAGUUCUCAAAUAACUCAGACUGGACUAUGUUAAUUAUUUAACAUUCUUUAAGGGCAGAAUUACUGAGCAAUAUUACUCUAUUUCAUCCUCUAAACUAAUCUGCCAAUUCCCAGCCUAAGUUGGUGAGAUGAUUGUGGUUUUAGGAUUUCUCUGUCCAGGUGUUUUCUUGUGGUGUCUCCUAGACUCUCUGUAGGACGCUAAUCCUCAUUUCUUCUUCCCCAGCUCCCUUCCCUGGCUGGGAGAAGUCCAGCAAUGUGCUCUCCCUGCUCAGUCAUUGGUUGUUAAGGUUUCUUUAUUGAAACUUCAGGGAACAAUUGGAAAGGUGGUGUUUACACAAGAUUGCACUGGGAUAUAAUCUGAGUAAGGAUUGUAACCACAUAUAGUGAACACAGACAUCGGCAUUUGAAUCUUCACACAGUGCACAAUAAAAAGUCUAUAAGGCACCAUUGACCCUACAGUACAGAAGCCUGUUCUUUCCUUAGACAGCAGGUAUCAAUUACAAAUAGCUCCUUGCUUAGAGGUUAGACCAUGUGUCAUCUUCCUCGUCAGUGCUGGUCACUGUCUCCUUAAGCCUGUCACAGUGUCUGUGAGUUCAUAUGAGCCGUAGUCCUGUGUGUCUGGAAGUCUCCUUGGAGUCAUCCAUCAUGUGUGGCUCUUAAUGUUUCUGCCUCCUCAUCCUCAUAGGUCUCUGAGCCUCUAGGGGAGGGCCGUGAUGAAGACAUCUCUUUUAGGACUGAGUGUGCCAGAGUCUUUCACUCUCUGAUCAUUGGGCACUUGUGUGUCUCUGUGUCAGUUCUUGUCUAUGGCAAGACACAGAUUUCCUGAUGUAUUUGAUGUUGUUAGUAAUAUGCAUCAAGGGUCUUGUUACUAUGUGUUCUCUUCUCAGAAUAAUAAUGUUCAUUUUUCUGAUCAUCCCAUAUGACAUUUCUAUUCUCAGGUUCAUGGCCACGUUAGUAGUGUCAUUAUGGGUUCCAUCUCAGAGAGCAGACUUUAAAUCCAAUGAACAGUGUUUAGUUACCCCAUGACAUUGGUGCCUAUAUUGCACCGUAUAUCUUAAGGGCAGGUCAGUGUGGUAGACCACAGGGCUUGUGGUUGGGUAACAGUAAUGACUGCCUUUGUCCUCUGGGAGUGUACAGAGUAUCUGCUCGCACCUUGAAUGUUAAUCUGUAGCAGUGAAUCUUUUAGUUGGACAUUAGCUGCGUUCUCUUAGUUGGAUUACAUUAGACACUAUAGUCUUCAGCUAUCGUCUUAGUUAGGGUUUGACUGCUAUGAAUAGACACCAUGACCAAGGCAACUCUUAGACAGCAUUUAAUUGGAGCUGGCUUUCAGGUUCAGACAUCCAGUCCAUUAUCAAUGUGGGCACAUGACAGUACCCAGGCAGGCAUUACAUAGUCUGAGCAGGGGUUCUACAUCUUGUUCUAAAGGUAAGCAAAAGAAGACUGGCUUCCAGGAAGCUAGGAUGAGGAUCUUAAGUCCUAUGCCCACAGUGACACUGUUCCUCCAACAAGGCCACAGCCACUUUAUCCAGGCCACACCUAUUCUGAUACUGUGACACUCUGGGUCAAUUAUAUCAAAGCAGCAUAUUCAACUCCAUGGCCUCCAUAGACUUGUGCAUUCACAUGAGUCUAUGCAGACCAUACCUAAACAUAGCAUGAUGCAAAAUACAUUCAAUGCAACUGAAAAAGUCCCCAUAGUCUAUAACAGUCUCAAUACUGUUAAAAACCCAAAGUUCACAGUGUCUUCUGAGAUUCAUGCUGUCCCUUAAUUCUAAUCCUCAAAGCUACACAGGAAAACAGCUGGGUAAAAUCCAAUAUCUGCAUCUCCAUGUUUGAUAUCAAAGCCAUCUUUAGAUCUCCAACUCCUUCUUCAUUGUUUUUACUGCAACAAACCUCUUUCUCAUGGGCUGGUUCCACUCACUCUUCGGAGCUUUUGUUCAUGAGACAUUCCAUGAUUCUGGUGUUUUGAACAUCUGGGAGUCUUCAAGGCAUAGCUUCAGUAUCAUAGCUUCCUGUUCCAACGUUUCUUACCCAUGUAUGAGCUUCUGGGAUCCUCUGAGGGGCCUGGUUCACAUCUGCAGCUCUGCCCUCUGUAGAACUCUAGGCUUAUGUUGGUUGACUCUAUUCCACUGCUGCUGCUGUUGGUGGUAUUCUUCCUAUGAUACUGACAUUUCUACUACACUGGGAUCUUCUGUUGUAACUAGGCUUCACCAAUAGCCUCUGGUAGGCUCUCUUCAUGAUGCCAAACCUGGAAUUCAUUGCACGACCCCUUCAGUCCUGGGCCAUCAACUGCAAUUGAGACUUUAUCUUUACCAAUGGUCUUCCUUGAUCUCUCACAGUGCCAAGCCUCAGCUGCUCUUCAUGGACUCUUCAUGCCUUCAAAACCAGUACCAACCACCUGGGUGAUUCUUACACAUUAUUAAAUCCAGCUACUGAGGGAGGUAAAGCCUUGGCUAUCUAUAGAACAUACUUUCUUUGUGCUAUCAGAAAAUACUUCCCAGAAGAUUUCACUUCAGUGAUGCUGGUCUCUUCUUAAUCACCAUUAAUUUCUUGGCUUAAGCUGACCGUAGUUUCUUCUAUUCUUGACUCUAAGCCCAGAGCCAGAUGGCCAAAGCUGCUGAGUUCUGCUGCUUGCUGGGCCUGAAACAUGGUCCUCUUAUUCUCUUAUCAGCUUUCUGUUUUCCAACUCCUUCAUUGACUAACCUUGGCUGUCCUGGAUGCUGGGAUUAAAGGUUUGUACAGAUUCACCUGGAUUUAAGCUUUUCUUCACCUAGAACUUACUCAGUUCCAGGGUGGCCUUGAACUCAGAGAUCUGCUUGACUCAGUCUUCUGGGACUAAAGGCAUGUACUACUUUGACUAGGCCUAAGUUUUUCAUUGACAACUGUUCUGCAAUAUCCAGAUCAAAAGCCUGUGUCUUUCAUUUCUGAAUUGUAGUUCACUCCAGAUUAAAAUCCAAGAUAAAGCAUAACCAGGGUAUGAUAACACGUAAUAUGAUAUAACCCUUCCUUGUUCAAUGGCAAAACCAUAAACAGUAAGCUUAGCUGGGUGGGAUCUUGCAAAAAAGUUCCCACUUCUGUGAUGGUUUGCAUAUGCUAGGCCCAGGGAGUGGUGCUAUUAGAAGGUGUGAACUUGUUGGAGGUCAGCCUAAAACAGAGCAAGUUCUAGGUGAAGAAAACUUAAAUACAGGUGUGGUGGUACACACAUUUAAUCCCAGGAGACAAGCAUACAGAUUUCUAAAUUCAAGAUCAAUCUAUAGAGCAAGAUCCAGGACAACAAAGCUUAAGCAGUGAAGGAGUUAGAAAGCUAGUGCUAAA